UACGGGAGGCAGCAGUGGGGAAUAUUGCACAAUGGGCGCAAGCCUGAUGCAGCCAUGCCGCGUGUAUGAAGAAGGCCUUCGGGUUGUAAAGUACUUUCAGUCGUGAGGAAGGUGUUAAGGUUAAUAACCUUAGCAAUUGACGUUAGCGACAGAAGAAGCACCGGCUAACUCCGUGCCAGCAGCCGCGGUAAUACGGAGGGUGCGAGCGUUAAUCGGAAUUACUGGGCGUAAAGGGCACGCAGGCGGUUAAUUAAGUUGGAUGUGAAAUCCCCGGGCUUAACCUGGGAAUGGCAUUCAAGACUGGUUAGCUAGAGUCUUGUAGAGGGGGUAGAAUUCCAUGUGUAGCGGUGAAAUGCGUAGAGAUGUGGAGGAAUACCGGUGGCGAAAGGCGGCCCCUGGACAAAGGACUGACGCUCAUGUGCGAAAAGCGUGGGGAGCAAAACCAGGGAUUAGAUACC
rnacentral:rRNA from 1 species